UACGGGGGGAGCAAGCGUUGUUCGGAUUUACUGGGCGUAAAGGGCGCGUAGGCGGUGCGGCAAGUCACCUGUGAAACCUCUGGGCUUAACCCAGAGCCUGCAGGCGAAACUGCCGUGCUGGAGUGUGGGAGAGGGGCGUGGAAUUCCCGGUGUAGCGGUGAAAUGCGUAGAUAUGCGGAGGAACACCGAUGGCGAAGGCAAUCCCCUGGGCCUACACUGACGCUCAUGCACGAAAGCGUGGGGAGCAAACAGG
rnacentral:rRNA from 1 species